GUUGGGCAGGCUGGUCUCGAACUCCUGAUCUCAGGUGAUCCACCUGCCUCGGCCUCCCAAAGUGCUGGGAUUACAGGCAUGCUGCAGAGUAAGGCUGAAAACAAGAUUGGUUGGAAGUCUUCAGGCCCGUGUGAGGUCAGGAGCCAGGUGUCUCAGUGAAAACAGGGAUAUUAAAUGAAAUCUGACAAUGGGCCGGGCAUGAUGGCUCACGCCUAUAAUCCUAACACUUUGGGAGGCCGAAGCAGGUGGAUCACCUGAGCUCAAGAGUUCGAGACCAGCCUGGCCAACAUGGUGAAACCCCGCCUCUACUAAAAAUACAAAAUUAGCUGGGUGUGGUGGCACGCACCUGUAAUCCUAGUACUUUGGGAGGCAGAAACAGGUGGAUCACCUGAGCUCAGGAGUUCGAGACCAGCCUGGCCAACAUGGUGAAACCCCGCCUCUACUAAAAAUACAAAAUUAGCCAGGCAUGGUGGCAAACACCUGUAAUCCCAGCUACUUGGGAGGCUGUGGCAGGAGAAUUGCUUGAACCUGGGAGGCAGAGGUUGCACUCCAGCCUGAGUGACAGGGUGAGACUCCGUCUCAAUCAAUCAAUCAAUCAAUCAAUAAACUUUGACAAUGAACGAUGAGGCCCUUCCAGACUGGCCAAUUGCUCCACUUGGCCCAGAGCUCUAGCUACCAGAAUUGGCCCCCAGAUGGGAGACUGGCCAGUCUUUCCUGGGGAAACCAACCUCCUCUACCUGGUUAUUCAUUAGGAGUAUACCAGUUAACGAGUCCCACCAAUCAGCAUUUUAGGGCCCAGCUCUUUCUUUUUUUAUUUUUGGAGACAGGGUCUCACUCUGUUGCCCAAGCUGGAGUGUAGUGGCGCAGUCUCAGCUUACUACAGCUUCAACCUCCGGGGCUCAAGCAAUCUGCCCACCUCAGCCUCCAUGCGCCACCACAUCCAGCUCAUUUUUGUAAUUUUUUGUACAGAUGGGGUUGCCCAGGCUAGUCUUGAACUCCUGGGCUCAAGCAAUCCACCUGCCUCGGCCUCCCAAAG
rnacentral:lncRNA from 10 species